AUUGAACGCUGGCGGCAGGCUUAACACAUGCAAGUCGAGCGGGGGAAGGUAGCUUGCUACCGGACCUAGCGGCGGACGGGUGAGUAAUGCUUAGGAAUCUGCCUAUUAGUGGGGGACAACAUCUCGAAAGGGAUGCUAAUACCGCAUACGUCCUACGGGAGAAAGCAGGGGGUCUUCGGACCUUGCGCUAAUAGAUGAGCCUAAGUCGGAUUAGCUAGUUGGUGGGGUAAAGGCCUACCAAGGCGACGAUCUGUAGCGGGUCUGAGAGGAUGAUCCGCCGCACUGGGACUGAGACACGGCCCAGUCUCCUACGGGAGGCAUCAGUGGGGAAUAUUGGACAAUGGGGGGAACCCUGAUCCAGCCAUGCCGCGUGUGUGAAGAAGGCCUUAUGGUUGUAAAGCACUUUAAGCGAGGAGGAGGCUACUCUAGUUAAUACCUAGGGAUAGUGGACGUUACUCGCAGAAUAAGCACCGGCUAACUCUGUGCCAGCCGCCGCCGUAA
rnacentral:rRNA from 1 species